rnacentral:rRNA from 1 species
AUUGAACGCUGGCGGCAUGCCUUACACAUGCAAGUCGAACGGUAACAGGUCUUCGGAUGCUGACGAGUGGCGGACGGGUGAGCAAUACAUCGGAACGUGCCUAGUAGUGGGGGAUAACUACUCGAAAGAGUGGCUAAUACCGCAUGAGAUCUACGGAUGAAAGCAGGGGAUCGCAAGACCUUGUGCUACUAGAGCGGCCGAUGGCAGAUUAGGUAGUUGGUGGGAUAAAAGCUUACCAAGCCGACGAUCUGUAGCUGGUCUGAGAGGACGCUCAGCCACACUGGGACUGAGACACGGCCCAGACUCCUACGGGAGGCAGCAGUGGGGAAUUUUGGACAAUGGGCGAAAGCCUGAUCCAGCAAUGCCGCGUGCAGGAUGAAGGCCUUCGGGUUGUAAACUGCUUUUGUACGGAACGAAAAGCCCCGGGUUAAUACCCUGGGGUCAUGACGGUACCGUAAGAAUAAGCACCGGCUAACUACGUGCCAGCCGCCGCAGUAA